CUACGGAGGGUGCAAGCGUUAUUCGGAAUCACUGGGCGUAAAGGACGCGUAGGCGGGUUGGCAAGUCAGAUGUGAAAUCCUACAGCUUAACUGUAGAACUGCAUUUGAAACUGCUAACCUAGAGUAUGGGAGGGGGAGAUGGAAUUAGUGGUGUAGGGGUAAAAUCCGUAGAUAUCACUAGGACUACCGAAAGCGAAGGCGAUCUCCUGGAACAUAACUGACGCUAAGGCGUGAAAGCGUGGGGAGCAAACAGGAUUAGAAACCCUAGUAGUCC
rnacentral:rRNA from 1 species